CAUCAUGGCCCCAUUGCUGCUUUGGUCUUUGGCAAAGCCCAGGAGAGACCAGCUGGGCACUGCUGCUUCUCUGCCAAGAGAGGGGAUAUAAUGAUGUGCAUCUCCUUUGGCCUUGAGGAUUCACCUGCCAGCUCUGCCCCUCUCUGGAGAAAAGAAAGCCACCGCUGACUGCUUGCAAAGGUGAAGAACAUAACUUUGAAAAUCAAAAAAGGGACCAGAGACACAACACUCCCUCGCCGGAGCGAUCCAUGUGGCAGCUUGCAAGGCUUUGUGCAGGCUUUGGCGGCACGUUUGUGCCUUGCCUCUGAGCACAGGUUAAGGGCUUGGACUCAGCUAGCAAACCUUGAAGCCACGAUGGCAAAUGCCAAACUUUGCAGCACUGCUACAUGCUUGAAGCUACCAGCCAAUUUGUCUCACCACUGAGACUGAAACUGCAAUUCCUCAGCAGCCCGUGCAAAUCUGUGUGUGGUGGUCUCACCUCUUCUGACUGUCCCUGCCCCCUCUUUGUGCUAAAUCUGGUACUUGGUGAACUCUCCACGAGCUGUGGUGGUGACUGAACUGGCAGCAAAACAUCCAAGUCUUUGGUCCUACAAGAUCCGGGCUGUAAAAUCACCAAGAUUGUAAGUGAAGAUUCACAGUGGGACUUAAUCCUGUCUCGCUAUAUUGCAAAAUCACCAAUCAGGCAAAAAUAUUAGAGAGGGGCACUGUAGGUCUCCAAAGAUGAAAGGUCUGAGCUGUAGGGAGCAUUUCUCCACCUACAUGUUUGCUGUGCAGUAGCUCAGCAAACACCUUGUGCUUCUAACACCCCUCUCACAAAAGAAUACACCAACAAGCUGAUGAACAUCACCACCAAAAUGCUUUCAGAAAACAAAAUAUAUUAACUAUGUGUAAAGACCACUGUCAAUGAAAUCUGAAAAUAAAAUCAACCAAUAAAGAGAAGCCCAAAUACACAUCUCUACAUAUGCCUGGCUAACAUUUAAUGACACCUUUCAGACACUGGAUAAAGGGACUGAGAUACCUAUGGCUGCAGUGGGAAAAUUAAGCUGAAAGAAUGGAAAAGUUCUGCUGUGAGCAGGGCCCCAUACUGAAC